UACGAAGGUGGCAAGCGUUGUUCGGAUUUACUGGGCGUACAGGGAGCGUAGGCGGUUCGGUAAGCCCUCUGUGAAAUCUCCAGGCUUAACCUGGAACAGUCGGAGGGGACUGCUGGGCUAGAGGACGGGAGAGGAGCGCGGAAUUCCCGGUGUAGCGGUGAAAUGCGUAGAUAUUAGGAAGAACACCAGUGGCGAAGGCGGCUCACUGGCCCGGUACUGACGCUCAUGUGCGAAAGCGUGGGGAGCAAACAGG
rnacentral:rRNA from 1 species